rnacentral:lncRNA from 1 species
CACAUAAAUAUAUGGAUAUUUAUUGAUUCAUUAUUAACUCAGAGGAUAUGGGUAUGAUUGUCUUUAAUUGCAUAUACUUGUGAUAGCAUUUAUUCAGCAAACCUUUGCACAACACACCUUCCAAACAGUAGCUACAUCCUUUUACAUUUAUGUACAAUAGUCCUGUAGAGUCAGAUCUAAUUAGGCGGAGGGCACUGGUGUGCUAUUACAAGUGGCAUUCUAUUACCAAUAUUGAUGAUAAAAGAGAACAGGGCUAGAGAAAGCACCAAAACAAGUGAUUUUAAAUUACCCUCUCAAUUCCAGGAUCAACUUUCAUUCAAGUCAUUUUACUGACAGGCUGGUAUUUCUAAAACCACUGUGUUGAUGAGAACUCUGGCCUGCACAGCAGGGUAGCUCACAGCUCCCCUCUUCUCAGCUGUGUGCCCGUGCUUCA